rnacentral:rRNA from 1 species
GAUGAACGCUGGCGGUAUGCUUAACACAUGCAAGUCGAACGGACUCUUCGGAGUUAGUGGCGGACGGGUGAGUAACGCGUGAGAAUCUGGCUUUGGGUUCGGGACAACCACUGGAAACGGUGGCUAUACCGGAUGUGCCGAGAGGUAAAAGAGAAAUUGCCUGAAGAUGAGCUCGCGUCUGAUUAGCUAGUUGGUGAGGUAAAGGCUCACCAAGGCAGCGAUCAGUAGCUGGUCUGAGAGGAUGACCAGCCACACUGGGACUGAGACACGGCCCAGACUCCUACGGGAGGCAGCAGUGGGGAAUUUUCCGCAAUGGGCGAAAGCCUGACGGAGCAAUACCGCGUGAGGGAAGAAGGCUCUUGGGUUGUAAACCUCUUUUCUUAGGGAAGAACAAAAUGACGGUACCUAAGGAAUCAGCAUCGGCUAACUCCGUG